rnacentral:snRNA from 1 species
AGACUUUCUCAGCAGGUUUUCGCUUUGACUCCAGGUACGUUACGAGUAGUCAUACCCAGAGCGAAGCGUAUUCAUUGCCCUGCGGAUGUUGACCGUUGUGAUUUCCCCAAGUGUGAGAAAGGCAACUGCAUAGUUUAUGGCAGUGGGGGAAUGCGUUUGUGCUGUUUUUUU